rnacentral:rRNA from 1 species
GGAAGCACCGGCUAACUCCGUGCCAGCAGCCGCGGUAAUACGGAGGGUGCGAGCGUUGUUCGGAUUUAUUGGGCGUAAAGCGCGUGUAGGCGGUUUCUUAAGUCUGAUGUGAAAGCCCCGGGCUCAACCCGGGAAGUGCAUUGGAUACUGGGAGACUUGAAUACGGGAGAGGGUAGUGGAAUUCCUAGUGUAGGAGUGAAAUCCGUAGAUAUUAGGAGGAACACCGGUGGCGAAGGCGGCUACCUGGACCGAUAUUGACGCUGAGACGCGAAAGCGUGGGGAGCAAACAGGAUUAGAUACCCUGGUAGUCCACGCCGUAAACGAUGAGAACUAGGUGUCGCGGGUA